CCGCGGUCACCCGUGCUAAGGUAGCAUAAUAAAUAGCCUCUUAAUUAGUGGAUAGAAUGAAUGGAUAAACGAAAGUUUUUCUGUCUCGAAUGUCUCCCUAAAAAUUAAUCUUUAGGUGAAGAAGCCUAAAUGAAAUUAAAGGACAAAAAGACCCCGUAGAGCCUUAUUUAACUUUAGAAACAGCCACUAUGCUUACCACCUAAACUCAAAUCUAGUUGGGGCGACUCAGGAAUACCAAAACCUUCCUGCCACCAAAAGACCCAUUGAUCCAAUAUUGAUCCAAAAACCUGAUUAACAAAAUAGGCUACCUCGGGGAUAACAGACUAAUCCUUCUCAAAAGACCUAAUUAACAGAAGGGGUUAGCACCUCGAUGUUGGCUUAGGGGCCCCCUAGAAGUGCAGGAGCUUCUCUGGGAGGUUCGUUCAACCUUCAAUUCCCUCCGUGAUU
rnacentral:rRNA from 1 species